rnacentral:tRNA from 2 species
GGGGACGUAGCUCAAUUGGCAGAGCACCUGCUUUGCAAGCAGGGGGUUAGGGGUUCGAUUCCCCUCGUCUCCACCG